UCAAGUGCGCCCCCACAAGAUGGCGCCACAGGCAAAUGCCUAGUUUGCCUCACGGUUGAACCGUCUCUGCCCUUCACCAUUUUCCUCAUCACACGGGGAAAGCAUCGUCACCCAGCUCCCCCCCCCCCCCCCCGUGCCAUCCCCAUUCUAUCUAAUGACAACACUGGAAGCCUCCUGUGUUCUCUAGGCAGUGUUCCACGAAGCUGCCAGGGUGUUUUUUGUAUGGAGUCCCACCAGAAGUAGCUUUGUGUCAUAUGUUGGGCUGUGACUCCAGUGAGGAAGCAUCCUCAAAGCAUCCUAGGAGAAAUUUGUAGGGUGCAAACAUGUGUAUGAACAUGGAAAAUCCAGCUUAGAACAAUGCUGUGGUGGGCAAACAGCUGGGGUCAAUUCCAGAUUUUGACAGGCAGAAUCCAUGCAUUAAAUAAAAUCAGAACUGACCAAAAAGUCAUUUCUAUUUUUUAAGAGACUAUUCCGGACAGAAGACAAGCCUGGGCAAAAAAUCCCAUUAAAUGGCCAAGCACAUCCUCUGAAGCUUUAUGCAGGAAAGAACUAGCCACAAGAUCUAUCUGUGAUCUGUGAUAUGCAUACAUAUGCUUACUUAGACAACAUAUCUAGAUAUUCGUUCAGCAUGAAAUAUAGCUUAUACUUGUUAUCUCCUUUAAGACCCCAUCCAUUCUGUGCAUGGGGUCAAUUACAGAUACACCACUAUCUGUGUAACAUGUAGAUUGGGGUGAGAAAAGUGUUGUUAGAGGGUUGCAGACAGGUUACAAACCCAACUUUUGCAACCCAUUUUAAUCCCCUGACAUUCUACCCAGAUUUCCCAACCCCACAGUAGGAGCAAGGAAUUUUUUGCACAAAAGUCACCCUAAGCACAGGAUUUACUCUGUGUUAGGACAAGUCAGGGAAUAUUCCGGAGUUGAAACUCAGUGAAACUCCAGAGCAGCCCUGGACUCUGAGAUUAGUGUGAACCACUAGAUAACUCUAAUUUGGGCCAAUCCAUUGUCUACAUAGCCAGAUAUUGUUGUCCCCCUUUUCCUGCACUUUGUAGCACAGGGGUGGUUUGACUGUGUUUUCCUGGACUGGAUGGUCUUUAUGGUUUCUUCCAACUUUGAUUUUAUGAUUCAAACACACCACAAACACAUCCUCUUCUCCUUGACCCUUAAAACUGAAAAUCAGUUGCAUACCAGCUAAAAUGGGGACUAAAAGUGAUGUGACAUUUAUUUACAGUGUGGCAUCUGCAUGACUUAUAGGAGAAGCAUAGGGCCAAAUUCCAUUUUCUGUAUGGGCAUACAUUUUGACUACUUUGAAAACCAAUGCACUGAUUGUUUCAGAUAGUCUUUCUAUUAAUGUAUAUCACAAUCAAUUUACAUUAUGUUGAUAAUUGCUAUGGCCAGUUUAUCCUAUGAUGGCCAGCCUUAAGAUGACAACCAUCUAUGGAACUAGCUAGUCCACUCUGGACUGCAGACAAGCAGUUCCCUACGGGGUCUGAAUUUGAAGCCAUAUUGAUUUGGUAGAAUGUGCAAGACCUUGCAGUACCCAGAUCACCAACAUUGCACAAUGAGGUAAACAUGUAGAGUUUAACUGGAAGUAUGGAGGUAAUUGAGGGAAAAAGAAGCUCAGAUCACCGAUAGCUACCAUGCAAAGAUUUAUUCUAUGUAUAUUGAAAGUUUUACCAAAGGAAACAAUUGCAUCAUUUCCAAGACUGCACACAAAUGACUGGGAAAAGAAGCAGGAAAAAGCAUUUGUUGAUGGAAGGAGGGGGGCCAGCUAUCUGUCUUGAUUUAAUAGGGAUCUCAAUAUCAUCUAUAUAACUGGACAAUAUUAGUACCAUUCAUGUUUUGAAAAACUGCAAAAAUCCCUUUUGGGAGGAAGCAAUUAGCCAGUGCAUUCACCCAGUAAUUAAUUAUUAUUGCAGUUCUAUUAAAAAGUCACUGCUGUGCACACAAAGUGACAUUCCAAAGCUGCCUUCUUUGCUUUGUGCUGAAGGAAAGCUCAAGCUUUUAUUCAUUUAAUGUAUACCUGGCCUUGUUGUUGCAGAAAAUAACGACCGCAUGAAAAAGUGCUGCAUGUGCUAGUUAGCCAAGGUAGACAUUUAGAGUAAAUUAUUAGCAGCAAGAGUCAUUAAGUUGAAUCCCUGCACCACAGCAAAUUAAGCAUCCUAAAAUAUCACAUUGAAAAUCCAGCAUGGAAGUCAUGUAUUCAUUGCUUCCUACUUGAAACGAGCAGCCCAAAGACUGGCGUGGCUGAGCUAUUUAUAUCGAAUAUUUGCUGUCAGUUUUGGCAUGCUGGCAAGAAGCAUCAGAAUUUGAAAAUUGUAUCUAUUAAUGCUCCUAUAUUGUGUUUAUAAUUUGCCAGUUUUACUUUGCUCCUCUGUAACUAUAUUAACUACAUUAAGGAGGAAAUAGGGAAUGUGCCAUGAGAACAAUAUAUUUUAUUUCCCCAGAAUGAGACAGUGAGGUCAUCUUUGCUUCAACUUACAUUCAUGUCAGAUGCAGUUGUUCUCCCUUUAUUCUUUCACUUAUUUCCAUGUAGGCCCAUUUUGUCUUGUGCUGUCAGUAGUGUUGAUGUUUUCACUCCAAGUAACUUUCAGGCAUUGAUUCCAUCAGGGCAGUAGACCUGCCAUAUUUGAAACAAACAGAAUAAAGGUUUGAUGUUUUACUAGCAGUUUUAAAACGUACAGAGAUAGUUGUCCAUGAAUUCCAUUAUACUUUGCUUUAUUCUACUCUGUCCUGGAAGAAACUUGAAGCCUGAUUUCACUCCAAUUCUCGCUGAGAAUGUUGAGCACUUUGUUCCUUUAUGCCCCCAAAUGGCACUUUAAUACAUAUCUUUGCACUUUUGCCCAGACUGCCAUCCCAUUUUAUUCCAAUUUCCCUAAAUGGUGGUUCUUCUGUGUUAUUAUCCUGUUUUAAAUUGGUUUUUACUGUUAUUAUAUCAUAUUAUUUGCUUUUAAUGUGUUUUAUCUGGUUGAAGUUGUUGUUUUUAAAUGUAUUUUCUUUGCCUAUUAUCUGUUUUUGGGCUUGGACCUGUGUAAGCCGCCCCGAGUCCCUGCAGGGAGAUGGAGGCAGGAUAGGAAAAAAAAGUUAUUAUUGUCUACACUGUUCUAGUAUCAAUUUCUCUGCUCACUUCUUUUAUCUCUUGCUCUGUAACCUUUCUCUGGCCAGUUAUAGAGGGAAACUUCUAAAAAGAGCUCUCAUUUGUGUCACUCCUAAUACUUUCUUCCUUCUUCCUUUAAUCAUUUUACAAACUUACCAGAGACUUAUGACCUUAUCACAAAGGCCUACUUCGCCUGGCUUCAUGGAGAAAAGAGAGGGGCAGGAGGGUAAAUCCAUCAUCCCCUGUGCAGCUCCCUCUUGACGAUGCUUGAUAUUGUUGGAAAGAGCAUGGGUAGAUUAGGCCAAACUUUUAUAUGUUGGGAAUGUCCAACAGUGCAAGAUCACUCUGCUGACAAUUUACUUUGACUCUAUGCAAACUUGCCUGUCUACAUAAAAAAAAUUCUUAAAUGAUUGUGUAUGAGAGCCAGCAUGAUGUAGUGGGUUUGGGUCUUGGACUAUGACUCUGGAAACCAGGGUUUGUAUCCCUGCUUUACCAUGAAAACCUAUUAGAUGACCUUAGGCAGGUCAUACAUGCUCAGUCUUAGAGGAAGUCAAAGGCAACUCCUCCCUGAACAAAUUUUGCCAAGGAAACCCCAUAAGGGUUGCUGUAAGCCGGAUAUGUUUUGUAAGCACAUAACAAUAACAAAUAUAGCAGUAAGGUCAUGCAUAGCAUGUAACUGGAGGUCUACCAAGCAACUUGCUAAACAAUAGUGAAUUGACACAUUUUGGAUGGCAGUGAUUUUGUCUAAGAGCUGAAACCCAGUUGUGACUAUCCCACCAGUCAAACAGCAACAACCAGUAUAUCCUUCUCUACUCAAACAAGGGAACAGAAACAGAGGGCAUGCAGGGAUAGAGAAGACUGCUAAUGGAAAUAUCUUGUAUAACACAAUUAAAUUAUAUUUGGUGGUCUAUUGAUUGAUAUAGAAAUAGACAUUGAAUAGUGUCCAAGUAAGAGCAUAUGGGAACUUGAUUAAUUUAAACAAGGCACAUUGAAGGAAACAGCUAUUUUAGAUUGAGUCAUGCACAUGCAUUUCUGCCCAUAUACGAUGAGGACCACUGGAGUGAUGGCUUGGAAUAUGCUGUUUUAAAUACAAGAAUUAAAAGCUCAGUCAUGUGUUAAAAUCCCCAGGAUCACUUUCAGAUUGAUUUUAGCAGCCUUCCCUUCCAACCCCUGCUAGAAGAAACUAUUUCUAUUAAUGUACAGCAGAUACUUUUGUAUUCCAUAUUCCUGUUAUACUGAUUUAACAAAAAUAUAUGUAUUCCAAAAGACUUGAACAAACAUCACUCUCUGCGAGGAAGGAAUGAGUAACUGAUAACAUUUGUUCUGAAGAUUAUUCUUACAUAUUGCUUCAGCCCUCCUGUAUUAGAGGACAUUCAGGGAAGCUAAACGUGAAGCGUCAAUCUUUGUAGGCUGAAUCAGCCACAUCUCACUCCUUUGUACUCAACACUGCUUCUAUAUUUUUCAUUCUCUCCAACAAGCAGACAUAUAUUUUGCAAGAAUACACUAAAGCAGCAUUCAGAACAAAGUCAACUUUCUUUGGCAGCAGAUGCAUUUUUCAGUAAAUUAUGUACCAAGAUAGCAAGUGACUGGAAAGAGAGACCAUCUGUCUGGAUGACUUUGGAUUCAUUCAGUUACUCUUAGGAAAUUCAUUCUGCAUAAAUCUGAGCAGUGAGUUUGAAACCAUGGUCCCUUGAUACUUAAAGCUUUUGAAGACCACACAGAAAAGGAAAUGUAAUGAACGUUACAGCCAAAUCACUUGGAGCCGCGAAUGUGAUGUCUUAGUGAAAUUAAUUCUUUACUCAUUGUCCUAACUUUAAAUGCAUGGUAGUGCUAAAAGUAUUUUUGAAACUGUUCUUGCAUAGAAUGAUAGCAACCAUUCUGGAUUCAGUGUGCCUAAUAAUUUUACAGCUGGUCUUAUAACUGAUGUUGAUUUUAUAUGGAUUUUGGAUAAUGAUCAGUACUAUUAAGCACAAGGCUACACAUGCUUUCUCUGUGGUGUGUUCCAAAAAAUGACAGCUUUUAGCAUGAGAGUUUCAAAUUUAAAAAAUGAUCUCAUCAGAUGGGCCUCCAGAAUCACCAUGCACUGUGGCAAAUCCAGCUGUAACCGUCGGGGGGCGUGGGGAACCCAUCACCCCAUGAGCCACACUUCCCAACUCACCCGAGUCCUCAUACCAUUAUGGAAGCAUCGACCAAAGGCUUCUCCCCAUUGAUUUCUAUUCAGUACGGGAAGCAUGCAUCUAUUUUUACAAUGGAUCCCUGCUAGAAGUUGCUCUACGUCAUGGGAUGGAAGUUGACUGGUUCUGUCGUAAAAGUAGAGGUGAACCAGCGCAUGCCACCGAAAAGGACCUCAUGUGAUGGGCAUGAUGGACAUGAUGGUCAAAGCUUCUCCAGCCUUUGAGCUGUCCAGAUCUUUAAAAUAACCAAAGGAGUCAAUUGUUUCCUACAACAAGUAGAGACUCUUUUUUGUGAAAAGCAUAGAAAGUUCUUUGUACUUUAAGUCCUGAAAGUACAGUGCUUAUGUGUCUUAUCUAACAGCAGGCAGUCUCCAGUUUGAUGGUAACAUGACCGAAGCAAGGAAUUAAGAAGACCAGGGACCAUAAAGUUUCCCAUAUGCAGUGACUACAUGGACAGCAUACUAAAGAGGGUCAGCUGGAGCUAUGCAGGUUCUGGAUCAAUGCUUGGAUGCUGUAAUGGACUGCAUGAGGGCCAACAACUGAAUCCGAAUCCCACACUAAUCAUCAUGAAGUUCAGAGCUUUGGAAAACUCCUGGAUCUGAAUGUGUACCAACAAUGCCUUCCUCAGUGACUGAGACUCCAGGACCUCUGCUGAGAAGAGAUAUUCUUGGAAUUAGAUCAAUUUCACAUUGAUAUAUUAAGCUCCUUUUCAACAAUAGAAAACUCAGGUUAAUUGGCUGUCUUCUAUAUUUUAAAGAAAUAAUUGAGGUUCUACUAAACAGGAAGGUAGCAUCAUUUUCUCAAUAAUUUCUGCUUACUUAAGAGAUCAAAUAUCAUUAUCUCAUUGGCUCAAACAAUAGCCAUCCCAGAGAGGAGGCUGCUUUUAUUGGUCUCAAAUAUCUACAAAAAUAUGUGGAAUGUGGCUACAGUAGUCUCCUUUAGAAACCACAUGUCUGAGGCCUAGAGCUGUCUACUGGCAUUUGGUUCCAGGACCCCCUGUGAAUAACAAAAUCCAUAGGUAUUCAGGACACUUGAUAUGCAAUGGCAUGUUAACAUUGUGUCCCUGAUAUAAAAUGGCAAAGUUAAAAUUUGUUUUUUUGGAUUUUCAAAAAUAUUUUCAAACUAUGGAUCUGGGGGUACAAAAUGCAUGAUAACAAAGGGCUGACUGUAUAUUAAGUAUCUGAGAUUUUGUUCUUUGCAAUCCCCACUGGCUUGAUCAGAUAUAUUGCAGCAUUCUGUUUUUUUGUGGUCAAACUAUAAGACCCUUCUGUGCCACCUACUGGACCAAUAUAUAUUGCAACAUUCACAAUUUCCUCACUGUGAGAGCUGUUCGGCAGUGGAACUCUCUGCCCCAAGUGUAGUGGAGGCUCCUUCUUUGGAGGCUUUUAAGCAGAGGCUGGAUGGCCAUCUGUCAGGAGUGCUUUGCAUGUGAUUUUCCUGCUUCUUGGCAGGGGGUUGGAUUGGAUGGCCUGUGAGGUCUCUUCUAACUCUAUGAUUCUAUGAAACACAGGUAGGUGUCCAAAAGAAAGAAGCGGGCAAAGUUAUCAGAUGAAUACAAAUAAAGCAAGGAUAAAAGUUCUAGAGUUGAACAGGUUUCAAUGUUUUAUUCUUUAUAAUGCACGUAAUUUCAGGACAGCAGAGACAUUUCACUUUGGGGUAAAAUUCUCAUUUUGGGGAUUGUAGAUUUACUGAUAUGUGUGUUUGCAGUAAGCAAGUUGCUCGGUUCUGGAACAGAAAUUGUCACUGCUCUGUACUCCAAACAAAACAAAAUAGGCUGUCAUAAACUUGUGAUUAUUUUCAUAUGUAUCUCUUUCAGAGGGGACUGCUAAGGGCAAAGGCAAUUCUCACUUUGUCAGCCGCGGAAAGCUUUGGAAAAUAACAUGGAUUGCAGACAGACUCAUUGUCUCCCGCUGCUUUUUAUAUUUACAUGAGGCUCUCAAAUUUUUAAUGUUCAGGAACACAUGCCAGACUCCCUCAAUACCUUCAGAUGAAUUUGUUCCACAAGAGCAAAGGUGCCUUUAUUAUGGCAUGAUGGGAACAAAAAUGUUAGGGCUGGAUGACUCUCAGGGCCCUUCCACACAGCCAUGUAACCCAGAAUAUUAAAGCAGAAAAUCCCACAAUAUCAGCUUUGAACUGGAUUAUCUGUGUCCACACUGCCAUAUAUUCCAGUUCAAAGCAGAAAAUGUGGGAUUUUAUUAAGCUGUGUGGAAGGGGCCUAUGUGGAGAAGUCCACCCCUCUUCGAGAUCAUCAAUAAGAGUAUGGUGGUCAUCAUCUGACCACAUCCAAGUUGUUUCACACUGGAGAAUAACGUCCCUCUUCAAUUAGCCAUCUGAGAGAACUCAAGCUCAAUAUGAAUUAUAAGAACAAAGGAAAAACAAACAGAAGACUGUGACUGAAAAGGAAUUAUGCCAGUUCAAACAAAUGUUGUAAAGUGAUAUAUUUAGAAGUAAUAUAUUUUAAGAAAGUUAACGAUUUUAAGAAAGUUAACAAUUCUGAAGUAUCUAAAUACAAACAAGUUGUAAUGGAUACCUUUUUCCAAUAAUGAAGUUGUAACUGUGUAACAUUACAAUUAGUGUUUAAUGGAGGAUAGCUUCAUCCCUUUCACGGUACAAUGGUCACUUCUUAAAAAGGUAAUUUUAUAGGUACAAGAGUAUGACCUCACUAAAAUAUGGAGGACAAACAUUAUCUGGUUGAACUGCUGGCUCAUGUUUCUGCCUGGUGCCUGGUUGUGGUUGUUGAGAUAAUGAUGUGAUAGAUGGGAAAACCAUGUGCCAGAAACUUGUAGUAUUAAAAAGCCAAAUAAUUGAAAUCCCCACUUCUAUUACUUUUAAGAAACUGUAAAUGAUACUAAUAACCUUGAAAUAUAAGAAUAUUAAUAACUUUUUGGACACUGGGAAUAUUUCUUUUAAAAGGAAUAAUAUUAACC